rnacentral:rRNA from 1 species
GAUGAACGCUGGCGGCGUGCCUAAUACAUGCAAGUCGAGCGAACAGACGAGGAGCUUGCUCCUCUGACGUUAGCGGCGGACGGGUGAGUAACACGUGGAUAACCUACCUUUAAGACUGGGAUAACUUCGGGAAACCGUAGCUAAUACCGGAUAAUAUAUUGAACCGCAUGGUUCAAUAGUGAAAGACGGUUUUGCUGUCACUUAUAGAUGGAUCCGCGCGGCUUUAGCUAGUUGGUAAGGUAACGGCUUACCAAGGCAGGGUUCCGUAGCCGACGUGAUAGGGUGACUGGCAAACUUGGAACGGAGAAACGGACAAGACUCCUAGGGGAGGAAGAAGAAGGGAAUGUUCGGAAAAGGGGGAAAGCUUAACGGAGAAAGGCGGGGUGAGUGAUGAGGGUAUUGGGAUCGUAAAACUGUGUUAAAAGGAAAGAAGAAAUGUGUAAGUAAAAAUGCACGUAGUGACGGUAGCUAAUCAGAAAGCCACGGCUAACUACGUG